AAUAAAUCUUCUGUCCUUCCUUGAAGAACAGCAGCAUAUUUUCUCAGCAGGCAAAUAUAUGAGAGGCCUAAAAGGAUCUGGCCACACCUAGCCACAGUGCCUGCUUGUCACCCAGAGCCUUUGGUGGAAGUGGAUUUCUUCAGGCAGUGGAGGAAGAUUCACUUCAUACUUCUGCUGUGAAUUCCUGCCUUCUCAUUGUACCUCUAGUACUGCCUUCAUACGAUGAAUUGAGUUACCAUAUGAUUUAGGCUGUCUGGAGCAUCGUAACACUUGUACGCUCACUUCCACAGUCUCCUGCCAAUGAUAAAACAUGAUGUAAUGAGAAGAUGGCAGACAGGCAACUACAAAAAUCGUUUGGAUGAAAAGGAUAUAACGAAAGCAUUGAGACAAACCUAGACAGGAAAGCUACUGUGUCAUAUCUCCUUCAGUCGUAAGUGUGAUGAGAACAUAGGAUGAAAGGACAUCUUUGCUGCAAUUAAAACCUUUAUGAGAAGAGGCUAUGGGAAAAAAAUGUCUUGGAGAAACAAACUAAGGUGACUCAGAGGAGUAACUAAUGUCAGUACUCUCAUUUCACUGCAACUCUAAGAUCCUGAGUGGCCAAACUAGACGACUACUUAGCAUGUGAUAUAAUGAUCAUAGCCCAAGGACAUUCACAACACUUUUCUGUAAUUGCUGCUGCAAUACCUGUGAUUCUAACAACACACAGAAUCCCUCUACAUUUACAUGGUCAAAUCAUCUGUUUUAGGUAAUUGUGCCAUGAGUAGCAUAUGUGUUCUGUUUCAUCUUGAUGCCAAAAUGAGAACUAAUACAUUUAAGAAGUAAAAAAAAUAUAAAGGAUACUGCAUUUUUAGCAAUGUCGAAAUUCUCGAAUAGUAAAUGAUUGUGAUAAGAACCCACAACUGUUACCUAAAGACGUUGCCCAGUGUUUAACUGAACGUUUGUGGAUGAAGCUUUAUGAUAAGAAACACAUCUUAACGUUCUAUAUCAUUUCUUCUGGGAAAUCAUUCCUAGAAUUUCUGUACAAUAUAUAUUUUUUUCCUUUCAUGUAAGUUCUUAAAAGUGGCAUUACAAACCUCCAAGAAACACUGUUUACAUCACCAUUUGCUCACAACAGAUUAUUGGUUAC
rnacentral:lncRNA from 1 species